CAGAGCCACGGGAAUACGUAGGUGGCAAGCGUUGUCCGGAAUUAUUGGGCGUAAAGGGCUCGCAGGCGGUUUCUUAAGUCUGAUGUGAAAGCCCCCGGCUCAACCGGGGAGGGUCAUUGGAAACUGGGGAACUUGAGUGCAGAAGAGGAGAGUGGAAUUCCACGUGUAGCGGUGAAAUGCGUAGAGAUGUGGAGGAACACCAGUGGCGAAGGCGACUCUCUGGUCUGUAACUGACGCUGAGGAGCGAAAGCGUGGGGAGCGAACGGGAUUAGAUACCCGCGUAGUCCCUGUCUCUUAUACA
rnacentral:rRNA from 1 species